GUGAAUUUAGUUUAAUAAAAAUAUCUAUUUUGCAAGUAGAAGAUUAAGUAAAUAUAUUUAAUUUCACA
rnacentral:tRNA from 1 species